CAAGUAGCUGGGACUACAGGAACCUGCCACUACACCCAGCCUCAACUGAAUAGCAGAGAGAUUUUGGCUUUCAUUCCAGAAUGAUGUCUCACAGAAAGUCAACUCGUGUUCCAGGUAUGUGAUAAACAUCUCACUAGUGAACUUCUUGCUGUUUCUAAGCGAUUAACGGUUUGGUUAGCAAGCCCAGAGCCCUGCAGAUACCUUUUGCCUCCUACACAAGAAGUAAGCUAAUGAAACCCACGGAGCACGGCCUGCCCCUCUGCUUCCCUUUAAUGGUUUCUGUCACCCAGGCCAGGCUGCCGCCACCAUGACUCUGCACAUCGAUGUGCCGCCUCAGGGCAAGCAGAAUGCAAAUGACGGUGGCCCUCAAAUUGCAAUUUAAGGAUAGCUGUUAUAUCUUCCCAUAUAUUUCUCUUCCUAACCUCCAAAUUUGAGGAUAAUGUGCUGUUUUAACUUAUUCUUAGUAGGAAGAAUGUUAAACCUUAGGGUGAUGGUAGUGUAUUGCUGAAUUCUGUGUUUUGGAAUAAAUUAGAUUUUUUUGAUGUGGAGAAGGGAGAAAGGGGGAGAACUAAAUGCAAAGAUAAUUUGAUUUUAAAAGCUGGAGUUUCCUGGUUCCUGGGUUCUAGAUAUUUAAAAAAUAGCCACAAUUAAUUAUGUAAUAAAUUGUAGGAGGUUGUCAAGUUGUCAUCUUUAUUAAGGUGUUUCUUGCCAGACAUAUUCAAAAUCUGUGUACUCAGAUGUUAACUGCAUUUGACUCUAUUGAUUAAAAUAUACUUUCUGCCAUCAAAAUGGAACUCCAAGAUGUAAAGGGAAAGAACACUUUAAAAGGCGUUUCCAAAGUCGUCUUGGAUAGAGGAGCUUUCAUCCAAGGGUGCUAUGUGGCAUUCCGGAAAUGAAUCAGAGACUUGGGCCCUCCACUUCCUUAGAAACAGAGACACGCUGAAGAUCGUUAGGGUAAAUGAGUGGGACAAAGUACACUCUGCAUUUUCUUUUUAAUUUCAACUAAAAAAAAUGCUGCACUCUUGUCUUGGCUGGAGAAACAUCCUCAGCCUGUUCAUCUCCUAUCCUCUGCCCAAAUCAACUCCAAAUUUGACUGACUGAAUUUUCAGUUCCUAUAUUUUCAGAUCAGUUCCUGUAUUUUCAGAUCUGGCUCUCUCUGUGGUUGUGGUGGUAGCAGUGGUAGUGGUUAUGGAGUCUGUAAGACUUGCCAUUUUUAAAAUGCCGAAAGCUCUCUUCAGGUUAAAUAGUCUCUCUGUGUGAUUCUCAAAUGAACUCCUUGAGGAAGAAUGUUCUGUGUGUAUCUAGAAACCUUAGUUCUACAAGAAUGAGAGCUAAAGAAGCUCACCCAUGUCCCACAGAAACCACUUCUUCCCUUUCCUGAACAAGAAACCGAUGUUCUUCAUCUACUGUCUGUCCACCCAGGCUUGGAAGACAGGUGAAAACAAUCCCAUCUUUCUAUUCCUAGAAAGAGGUAGGGAUGUGAUGCUUACAUUCCCCUGGCUUUUACUUGCAUCAAAUGUGGGAGGAAGGAAUAAAAGAGAAGAGGAAACUAAAACCUGAGAAAGGGCAAGAAGAGAAAGUAUUAGGUUGAUGCAAAAGUAAUUGUGGUUUUUGCAAUUACUUUUAAUAGCGAAUCCCCGCCCCCCAAAAUCAUCUAGCAAUCUGCCCUCUGGAGUGAACUUGAAUAAAAGUAGGUAAUAGUACCACUCUUGGCUUAGAAGUAUCUGAUUAUCCCUACUAACCAGUACAAGACAUAGAUUUCUGAAGGAAAAGGAUGCCUACCAUUGGCUCUUUUUUGUUUUUGUAGUUUGAUUUUUCUUAUUUUUUAAAAGGUUCUAAAAAUAAUACAUAUAUACCUGGUAGAAAAUUUGAAACUUAGAAAGAAGUUAAAAGAAGCCUACAAAAUAUCACCGCAUCAUAUUAUCUUAUUAGCCAAAUGCAACCACCACUACCAUCCAGGGAGGGUUCUUGCCAGUAUUUUCUCUAUUUUUUCGUAUGCUUUUAAAAAUCUUCACAACUAAAAUCAUUCUGUGCACAGAAUUUCACAUACUACUUUUUAUUCAAUCAAAAAUAUUUUCUCAUGUGUUUAUUAAUUCUUUAAAUAUUAUUUUAAUGGCAGUAUAAUUUGCCAUCAUAUGACUAUAUUAUAAUUUAUUAAUAAUUUUCCUAAUAAAGGACAUUCAGAGUGUUUAGAAUUUUAGCCAUUAUAAAUAGUAUUAAAUAAACAUGGUUUUUGUGUGCAUUAAUCUUUACUUUUUAAAUUAUUUCCUUAGAAUAAUCUACUGGAAGUAGGAUUACCAAAUCAAAGAGUAUCAUCAUUUUCAAGACUUUAGUACCUAUCGCCAAGAAAGCUGUAUCAAUUUAUAUUCACAGUAUAUUAAUGUCUUUCUGAAACUGACUGAAUUGAUUAAUGUCAUUUAAAAAUCAUGCUAUCUUGUUAGGCCUCUGAUACUUUGUAUUUACUGGUAAGGCUGAAAAUUGUUUACAGACUAAUGAAACACAUUAUAUAUUAAGGUUAUUUAUUUUGUGCCUUAAUAUUUGAAAAAAUACAUCUUCUUAUCAGUUUGCUUUUUGUCCUUUUUGCUGAUUGUUUAUGAUCUUUUUUGACAUACAAAAAUUUUAUUUUUCUCUAUAUUUCAAUGUAUUGAACUUUGUAUUCUGUAAUUUCUUCUAUUACUGUAAAGUAGAGAAAAUCUGCCUGUAUCUAGAUAAAUAUGCAGAAAUACAUUCUCGUUAUUUAAUUAAUUUUUCAAAAAUAUUUCUUGAAUUUAUCUAGGAUUUGUUAUACGGCGUGAAAAAAAUUUAUUUUUCUCUGAUAAGCUAAAAAUCAUCAUGCACAAUUUAUUACUUUUUCCCCACAGCUUAUAUAUGUAUUCUAUUGACACAUAUGCAAGAUUCUUUUUACAUAUGCGAGAUUAUGUUUUGGGGUUUUCUUUCAGCACUUUACUGAUCUCUUUGCCUAUUCAUUUAUCAGUAGUUUCUCCAUCCCUAGUCCUUUUCUUUCUUUUUUUCUUUCUUUUUUUUCUAAAGUUCUUUUAACUAUUCUUAUUUCUUUCAACUUAAAAGGUGGCCAAGAUGACAUACCAGAAGGCUGUCUAAAAUUAUUGGAGAAAGAGAAUCUUUGCCUUUAAAGUUUUAGGUCUUAGGUGAAAACGAUGCAGUGUUAGCUCUUGUGUCUAUAAAGGGUGGGGUUCAUGCUAUGACACAGAAAAUCAGAAAGGACUUUCUUGACAUUUGUAGAAACAGUAAUAUAAAGAAGAAUUAGGUACCUUUUGGUUCAUCUUAAGUAAAGAAAAUUUCCAGUGAGGAGAUUGAGACAUUUAAUGUUAAAAAGAUCCUCUCUCUUCUAGGGCACGAGUAAAGAUAUCAACCCAUCUAUCUGUAGAAAAUUGCCAGAAACUGUCACAAAAUAAAAAAUGAGAGAAGGCCUGAAUUACGACAGUCCUGGUGGGGUUCUACAAGGCAGCAUGAGGGAGAGGAGAGAGGACUAUUUUACCAAGAUUUUAAGACUUUCAAACAACCAGGGAAGGCUUCUGUGGACAGGUAUGUGAGUCUUUGACACAGGCCCCUAAUUAUUUAAACACAUUAACAGUGGUAAGAGACAAAGGCCUCAAAGAACUCAAGCAACAAGAACUUCUUGUGAAACUUGAGGUUUUUGCCCCAUGCUAAUAACAUUCAUUGAAAGUCGUCUCCUGUUUUGGGGGGCUGACGGCCCCAGAUACGUCUCUUCUUGGAAGAAGAUUAUAUUUUGAAAUGUCUCUUCAUUAGAAGGGCAACUUCAUUUUCAAUUGGAAUCUUUGACAUGGGAUUUCUCUUUUUAAAAAUUAUGGAAUAUUUUUAAAACGGCAAAGUAUUAACGUGUAAACAUGCAGAGACAUGGUAAACUCAUGUCCUUAUUCCCAAAUUUUCACAUCUGUUUUACAUUUAGACCAAUCUAUUUGAGCUCAUUUCAAAAGAAAUGAAAGGUUAUGGUUGUAUCCUUCACAUUUCCAUGCCUCCUUCUCUCUCUUCCCAAAGAGACAAACCGUGUUCUGUGGCUGGUGUGUGUCCUCCUUCCUGGACUUUUAGGAAGUCCUGACCAAGUAGCCACUUGGCCU
rnacentral:lncRNA from 1 species